rnacentral:lncRNA from 1 species
GCGGCCCCGAGGCCCUGAGGCCCAGGGCGGGGACCAAAAGCCGCGCGCUUGUGACGAUGUCGCUGCGGGGCACGCUAAGGGGCGGAGAGGAAAUUUAGGGCCUGCCUUUUGUACAUUCGGUUAUUCAGCCCAGAAAUAUGUAUUCAACCCCAGGCGCGUGCCUGGCAUUGUGGAAGGCGACACGUGAGGAGAAUUGUGACUGGCCCAGAUGUCACCCCCCCCCAGCCCAGUAGUCAUUCUUCUCUGGAAGUCCUUACCCAUCUCACCUGUUCAUUCUUCAACCCCCAGUUUCCCGACCUUUUUCCUCAAGCCACGCCCUUCCACGCUUUCUUGUCUUUUCUGUGGUGUUCCUUCAGUCUAGAAUAUUCUCCACCUAGUACAAUCCUGCUCCUCCCCUGACAUUCUGCUGAAAUUGCACUCUUCAGCCUUCCCAGCUACCAGGAUGAGACAACUCUACUCAGACCCAAGCACACCAAGCCAGGAAUGCACAAAGGACGGCUGAUGUUUGAGAUAAGAACUGUCUCAAGGACUUUCUAUAAUAACCACACAAGGAAUUCCUCAUGUACGUCACAAGUCUCAUGCGUUUCUCCACCUACGUUUUGCACAUGUGCACACAUUUAUUGAUUUAGAGGCAGGGAUCUUGCUGUGCUGCCCAGACCGGACUCAAAUUCCUGGGCUCAAUCGGUCCUCCUGCCUCAGCCUCUAGAGUAGCUGGGACUCCAGGCAUGCGCCACCCUGUUAUUUCUGUGACCAGGCUUAGCACUAGGCAUUCUUUCGGACGACAGCAAUUCAAAUAAGAUGCUCUCCAAAGAACACUUGCCUAGUAGCGGCAUCUCCAAAAAUAAAUUGAUGCCGCUCCGGCUUUGAGCCUCCAGAACCAAAGAAACCUGUUUCCAGACAGCUUAUGUGAACUUCUACUUUUGGCCAAUAAGAGCUCCCACUUACCCCUGCCCUAUUCAGGUGCACCUGUGGCUUGCCAUAGCCAUAUAGCCAGGUGCACCAUCCUUUUUGCCUGCUCCUGAAUAAAUUAAUUAUAUUAGGAGA